AAUAGAUCAUGACAAUAGUUUCAGUCCCAGAUGAAAAGCUGUGAUUACUGUUAUGACAUCACCUGAGAUU